CUGGUGAAUGGAGGCUGACUUCUUGCUCUCCAAGAACUGCAAGUAGCUACCCAAUCUCUUCUUGAAAUCAGCAGUCUGUGAGCUCACUGUAGUGGGGCAGCCAGAACCUUAAAGCCUAACAAUGGGACAGUGACAAGAAGAGAGGUGGAGAGAAACUUUCACAGUCCCCCUCUUCCACUCCAAGAGAAGAAACACACGGCUUUAUUAUGGUACCAAGUCCACCUCCAGAUAGAAGCAAUACAUCUCCUCUUGAACAAGACUGUUUCUCCAGUUUAAGCAAAUCUAUCCAAACUACCUCCAAGCUGCAGUGAAUCAUACGGUGGCUGAAGGAACUACACUAAGAAGGACUUGAAAGACUUUUUGUGAAAUUGUAGCUGAAAACACACCAAAUGUAUGUGAUGCAAAGAGUGCUUCCGAGGAGAUAAAACUGGUAACGAAAUCUUUUUUAAGAAAAGGAAAAAAGGAGAAAAGGAACCAGCAAAAAUGGACUGAAGUUGAUCUUUCAAAUGGGCCCACAGCAGCGCACAGCACCACCUCCAUCAUCACCAUCCUCCUCCAUCCCCGAUAUUCCCAAGA